CAGUGAGGGGAAUGAUGUACUACUACCGUGCUCUCGAGAUGCUUACGUUUCUGGACUCCGCUUCUGAAAUGGACAUGCGG
rnacentral:snoRNA from 1 species